UACGGAGGGUGCAAGCGUUAUCCGGAUUCACUGGGUUUAAAGGGUGCGUAGGUGGGCAAGUAAGUCAGUGGUGAAAUCUCCGGGCUUAACCCGGAAACUGCCAUUGAUACUAUUUGUCUUGAAUACUGUGGAGGUCAGCGGAAUAUGUCAUGUAGCGGUGAAAUGCUUAGAUAUGACAUAGAACACCAAUUGCGAAGGCAGCUGGCUACACAAAUAUUGACACUGAGGCACGAAAGCGUGGAGAUCAAACAGG
rnacentral:rRNA from 1 species